rnacentral:rRNA from 1 species
UACGGGGGGGAGCAAGCGUUGUUCGGAUUUACUGGGCGUAAAGGGCGCGUAGGCGGCCACCGCAAGUCAGUUGUGAAAUCUCUGGGCUUAACCCAGAACGGUCAGCUGAUACUGCGGGGCUAGAGUGCAGAAGGGGGCAACUGGAAUUCUCGGUGUAGCGGUGAAAUGCGUAGAUAUCGAGAGGAACACCUGCGGCGAAGGCGGGGUUGCUGGGCUGACACUGACGCUGACAGCGCGAAAGCUAGGGGAGCGAACGGG